CCUACGGGAGGCAGCAGUGAGGAAUAUUGGUCAAUGGGCGCGAGCCUGAACCAGCCAAGUAGCGUGAAGGAUGACUGCCCUACGGGUUGUAAACUUCUUUUAUAAAGGAAUAAAGUGAGGCACGUGAGCCUUUUUGUUUGUACUUUAUGAAUAUGGAUCGGCUAACGCCGUGCCAUCAGCCGCGGUAAUGCGGAGGGUACGAGCGUUAUCCGGAUUUAUUGGGUUUAAAGGGAGGGUAGAGGGGUUGUUAAGUCAGUUGUGAAAGUUUGCGGCUCAACCGUAAAAUUGCAAUUGAUACUGGCAAGCUUGAGUACAGUUGAGGUAGGCGGAAUUCGUGGUGUAGCGGUGAAAUGCUUAGAUAUAACGAAGAACUCCGAUUGCGAAGGCAGCCUACUAAACUGCCACUGACAUUGAUGCUCGAAAGUGUGGGUAUCAAACAGGAUUAGAUACCCCAGUAGUC
rnacentral:rRNA from 1 species